UACAGGGGGGGCAAGCGUUGUUCGGAAUUACUGGGCGUAAAGGGCUCGUAGGUUGCCAACUAAGUCAGACGUGAAAUCCCUCAGCUUAACUGGGGAACUGCGUCUGAUACUGGAUGGCUUGAGUUUGGGAGAAGGAUGCGGAAUUCCAGGUGUAGCGGUGAAAUGCGUAGAUAUCUGGAGGAACACCGGUGGCGAAGGCGGCAUCCUGGACCAACACUGACACUGAGGAGCGAAAGCCAGGGGAGCAAACGGG
rnacentral:rRNA from 1 species